rnacentral:lncRNA from 1 species
AGUCAAUUCAGGUGACACCUCGCAAACCAAAACACUAUCACAUAGCGUGCUCUCGCAGGCCCGACAUCCUUUCCCAAAUAUCAUUCCAUUGAAAGAGGUGGUGGCCAACAUUCUCCAUAAUUGCUACUCGCUCCAGUCAAAUUCACCUUAAACAUGUCAUAAAUUACAAAAUAUAGGAGCACCGUCUAUAAUUAAUGCAUGG